UUUUUUUUUACAAACUUAAACUGU
rnacentral:piRNA from 1 species